AACAGCAUUUAUGUUUGCUUGUGUGUGUGGAGAACUGUUGGGGUUUUUUUUUGUUCCUUACCAGUACCACAUGGUGCACCUGUAUAGUGUUGUAGUGACUGAGAAUGUAAGACAGGCUGUACGGGUCCACAGGAGUGUGUGCAGUGUUGGGAAGGGUACAGUUGUACCUAUAGGUGUUUGAAGUGCCAGUACCAGGUGUCCAUGUUUCAGCUACAGAACCAUGGGAUGUAGACAAGGUGCAGCAGAGGUGGGCUUUGCAACACCGACUCCAGUGUACGCAUCACCACACAAAAGUGUUCCCCAGAGGAUACUGCCAGACUCAGGUGAAGUGCACUUUCCUGGUCUGCAGUGUGUAUGUGACCACUGAGAUGGAAACAGCCCAGCUUCCCGUAACUGUUCAUGC
rnacentral:lncRNA from 1 species